GAAAUGCGAUAAGUAAUGUGAAUUGCAGAAUUCAGUGAAUCAUCGAAUCUUUGAACGCACCUUGCGCUCCUUGGUAUUCCUUGGAGCAUGCCUGUUUGAGUAUCAUGAAAUCUUCAAAGUAAAUCUUUUGUUAACUCAAUUGGUUUCUACUUUGGUAUUGGAGGUCUUUGCAGCUUCACCCCUGCUCCUCUUUGUUCAUUAGCUGGAUCUCAGUGUUAUGCUUGGUUCCACUCGGCGUGAUAAGUUAUCUAUCGCUGAGGACACUGUAAAAGGUGGCCAAGGUAAAUGCAGAUGAACCGCUUCUAAUAGUCCAUUGACUUGGACAAUACUUUUAUGAUCUGAUCUCAAAUCAGGUAGGACUACCCGCUGAACUUAAGC
rnacentral:misc_RNA from 1 species